rnacentral:snRNA from 1 species
UGUUCUCCAUCCCAUUUACCAG